CGAAAUGCGAUACGUAAUGUGAAUUGCAGAAUUCCAUGAAUCAUCGAAUCUUUGAACGCACCUUGCG
rnacentral:rRNA from 1 species